GAUGAACGCUGGCGGCGUGCCUAAUACAUGCAAGUCGAGCGAACAGACGAGGAGCUUGCUCCUCUGACGUUAGCGGCGGACGGGUGAGUAACACGUGGAUAACCUACCUAUAAGACUGGGAUAACUUCGGGAAACCGGAGCUAAUACCGGAUAAUAUAUUGAACCGCAUGGUUCAAUAGUGAAAGACGGUUUUGCUGUCACUUAUAGAUGGAUCCGCGCCGCAUUAGCUAGUUGGUAAGGUAACGGCUUACCAAGGCAACGAUGCGUAGCCGACCUGAGAGGGUGAUCGGCCACACUAGAACUGAGACGCGGUCCAGACGCCUACGGGAGGCAGCAGUAGGGAAUCUUCCGCAAUGGGCGAAAGCCUGACGGAGCAACGCGGCGUGAGUGAUGAAGGUCUUCGGAUCGUAAAACUCUGUUAUUAGGGGGGAACAAAUGUGUAAGUAGCUAUGCACGUCUUGACGGUACCUAAUCAGAAAGCCACGGCUAACUACGUG
rnacentral:rRNA from 1 species